UGGCAUCAAUGUCUGACUGCAGUUUGUCUAU
rnacentral:piRNA from 1 species